AAUCAACGCUGGCGGCGUGCCUAACACAUGCAAGUCGAACGCGAAAGUCCCGCAAGGGAUUAGUAGAGUGGCAAACGGGUGAGUAACACGUGGGUGACCUGCCUUCGAGUGGGGGAUAACGUCCCGAAGGGACGCUAAUACCGCAUAACAUCCUGCCUUUGAAGAGGUGGAGAUCAAAGACUGGGGACCGCAAGGCCUGGCGCUGGAAGAGGGGCCCGCGUCUGGUUAGCUAGUUGGUGAGGUAACGGCUCACCAAGGCAACGAUCAGUAUCCGGCCUGAGAGGGCGGACGGACGACACUGGGACUGAGACACGGCCCAGACUCCUACGGGAGGCAGGCAGUGGGGAAUUGUUCGCAAUAGGGCGCAAGCCUGACGACGCAACGCCGCGUGGAGGAUGAAGACCU
rnacentral:rRNA from 1 species